rnacentral:sRNA from 1 species
AAAAAUCACGGUGGUGCAGUAUCCUAGUCAGCGCUGCUUGCUCCCAGGACGGGCCUAAAAAUCCGUUGAAGGGCACAUCGAUGAAGUUCCUGGUGCUUGCUUUCGACGCCCAGUCGGGGGUUGGUGCUGGGAGUUAAGGCUUUGGGGCGUCUCGCAAUGGCAUGCGAAAUUCGACCCCAUUUCCGUGGAGACCUGUUCUUGUGCUUCAUCUGCCCGCUUUAAAACCGUAUCGUUUUGAGGCGGCCUACUGAGGUACGAAACAGGGUGAAACCUGUUGCUUGGUGCAACUGCCGUGCGGUUUAGCGGCCGCAAUGCACGCGUGCUGGGGACAGCGUAGCCUGCCUUGAGUGGGUAUGGCGGAUAGCGGACAGACCUUUUUCGUUCCGGCCAAAACAAAAAGGUUAUCGCUGCUUGAAACCAUGGCUGCAAAAGAGGCUAAGAGCAAGUCUGACUGUUUGGGAAAACCUCUAGGCUGUUCGUAUGAGAUACUUUUGGGAUUGUAGUGCGGACUUAAGUGGUGAUUCGGUUCUGCAUAGGGAGACCGUGCAGGUCGGACGUUAAAGGGAAACCACUGAUUUGGCGACAUUUCAGCAGUCCGUCGGGAAAGCCUACCGAACCUAAACCGCAAAAUUUACCUCAAGUAUUGCCACCUAUUUUUUUAU